GCCGCCUUAGCUCAGUUGGCCAGAGCAGCUGUCUUGUAAACAGCAGGUCGUCGGUUCGAGUCCGACAGGCGGCUCCA
rnacentral:tRNA from 3 species